ACUCCUACGGGAGGCAGCAGUGGGGAAUAUUGCACAAUGGACGAAAGUCUGAUGCAGCAACGCCGCGUGGAGGAUGACACAUUUCGGUGCGUAAACUCCUUUUAUAUAGGAAGAUGAUGACGGUACUAUAUGAAUAAGCACCGGCUAACUCCGUGCCAGCAGCCGCGGUAAUACGGAGGGUGCAAGCGUUAAUCGGAAUUACUGGGCGUAAAGCGCAUGCAGGUGGUUUGUUAAGUCAGAUGUGAAAGCCCGGGGCUCAACCUCGGAAUUGCAUUUGAAACUGGCAAACUAGAGUACUGUAGAGGGGGGUAGAAUUUCAGGUGUAGCGGUGAAAUGCGUAGAGAUCUGAAGGAAUACCGGUGGCGAAGGCGGCCCCCUGACAGAUACUGACACUCAGAUGCG
rnacentral:rRNA from 1 species